rnacentral:lncRNA from 1 species
AUGAAUAAAUACUCCCCAGAAUUCAGCAUUCCUUCAUUUCAAGAAGAGACACAGAAAAGUAAUCAGCUAUCAAGAAUAAGAAAAAUGAUGCAACAGGAAAAAAACGUUUCAAAACUCUGGGCCGAUAUUGUUGAUAAUGAGAGUGACGUCGUCUUGGAUGACGACUUUUAUAACAUGAUUGUCUUCCCCGAGGAAAGUUCCAGUGAGGAGACCAGUCAGGACUCUCUCAUCCACCAAGACAAUUCAUCUCAAAUCUCUGAUGGUGACAGGAAAUGUAGUCAGAGUGACUGUGAAGGUGAUCUGGAGGUCUACAAUAUGAUGUCCCCUGACAAUAGCUACACCGAUGAGAACGCAGAUGAGCACAGUCUGGACUCUCAAGACAAUUCAUCUCAAAUCUCUGAUGGUGACAGGAAAUUUAGUCAGAGUGACUUUGAAGGAGAUCUUGAGUUUUACUACUCGAUGUCCCCUGACAAUAGCUACACUGAUGAGAACGCCGAUGAGCACAGUCUGGACUCUCCCACCCCCAGAGAAUAUCCCUUUGGACCCUCUGAUUCUGAAAAUACUGAUAGUGAGGAUAACAAUUCAAGUGAUUCUGAUUCAGAAGACUCAACAUCAGAGGAGUCUCAAGAAGAAAUAGACGUCAACGAUCUUAAUGGAUUGACCUCACUGCGCAAGAAGCUAAAAAGCUGUUUAGCUAAGAGGGAAAGGAACAUCGCCAAAAAACUGGACUUCAUAAAGAAAUAUGAGCAGGAGGCACUUAAGGCUGAUGAAGAUUGGUUGUUUUCUGAAAAAAGUAUUGAGCAGGAGCGUCACAUUAGACAAGAGAGUCGAAAGGAAAUCAGAGAACUUGAGGAGAAGAUCCAGAAUGUGACAGAGUUCCUCAAGGGUGAAAAGAAACCAAGCUACUCAGAGGGUUACAAGGCAGUUUUAAAAGAGACAGAAAUGGUCACAAAUCAACUGCUUGAAAUCAAGAAUCUAAAUUUACACAUGGAAGAUCAAAUUGGAAAACAAAAGGAGAAAAGAGAAAAUCUAGAAAUUUAG